AGAGACAGCAGCAGCCGCGGUAAUACGUAGGUCCCGAGCGUUGUCCGGAUUUAUUGGGCGUAAAGCGAGCGCAGGCGGUUUGAUAAGUCUGAAGUUAAAGGCUGUGGCUCAACCAUAGUUCGCUUUGGAAACUGUCAAACUUGAGUGCAGAAGGGGAGAGUGGAAUUCCAUGUGUAGCGGUGAAAUGCGUAGAGAUGUGGAGGAACACCAGUGGCGAAGGCGACUCUCUGGUCUGUAACUGACGCUGAGGAGCGAAAGCGUGGGGAGCGAACAGGAUUAGAUACCCCUGUAGUCCCUGUCUCUUAUACA
rnacentral:rRNA from 1 species